UACAGAGGGGGCAAGCGUUGUUCGGAAUUACUGGGCGUAAAGGGCGCAUAGGCGGCCUGCUAAGUCGAACGUGAAAUCCCCGGGCUCAACCCGGGAACUGCGUCCGAGACUGGCGGGCUUGAAUCCGGGAGAGGGAUGCGGAAUUCCAGGUGUAGCGGUGAAAUGCGUAGAUAUCUGGAGGAACACCUGUGGCGAAAGCGGCUCACUGGACCACAACUGACGCUGAUGCACGAAAGCUAGGGGAGCAAACAGG
rnacentral:rRNA from 1 species